rnacentral:rRNA from 1 species
UACGUAGGGUGCGAGCGUUAAUCGGAAUUACUGGGCGUAAAGCGUGCGCAGGCGGUUCUGUAAGCCAGAUGUGAAAUCCCCGGGCUCAACCUGGGAAUGGCAUUUGGGACUGCAAGGCUCGAGUGCGGCAGAGGAGACUGGAAUUCCUGGUGUAGCAGUGAAAUGCGUAGAGAUGCGGAGGAACACCGAUGGCGAAGGCAGCCCCCUGGGCUAGCACUGACGCUCAGGCACGAAAGCGUGGGGAGCAAACAGG